CCUACGGGCGGCAGCAGUGGGGAAUAUUGGACAAUGGGCGCAAGCCUGAUCCAGCCAUGCCGCGUGAGUGAUGAAGGCCCUAGGGUUGUAAAGCUCUUUUGUGCGGGAAGAUAAUGACGGUACCGCAAGAAUAAGCCCCGGCUAACUUCGUGCCAGCAGCCGCGGUAAUACGAAGGGGGCUAGCGUUGCUCGGAAUCACUGGGCGUAAAGGGUGCGUAGGCGGGUCUUUAAGUCAGGGGUGAAAUCCUGGAGCUCAACUCCAGAACUGCCUUUGAUACUGAAGAUCUUGAGUUCGGGAGAGGUGAGUGGAACUGCGAGUGUAGAGGUGAAAUUCGUAGAUAUUCGCAAGAACACCAGUGGCGAAGGCGGCUCACUGGCCCGAUACUGACGCUGAGGCACGAAAGCGUGGGGAGCAAACAGGAUUAGAUACCCGAGUAG
rnacentral:rRNA from 1 species